rnacentral:rRNA from 1 species
UAGGGAAUCUUCCGCAAUGGACGAAAGUCUGACGGAGCAACGCCGCGUGAGUGACGAAGGUUUUCGGAUCGUAAAACUCUGUUGUGAGGGAAGAACACGUGCCAACUAACUACUGGCAUUUUGACGGUACCUCACCAGAAAGCCACGGCUAACUACGUGCCAGCAGCCGCGGUAAUACGUAGGUGGCAAGCGUUGUCCGGAAUUAUUGGGCGUAAAGCGCGCGCAGGCGGGCCUUUCAGUCUGAUGUGA